AUGCACCCCGCGAACACGCCGGUUGCUGCGCGCCGUCCAUGUUCACGUGGCGUCCGCGCGUUACGGGUUGCCAACC
rnacentral:sRNA from 1 species